rnacentral:misc_RNA from 1 species
GAAAUGCGAUAAGUAGUGUGAAUUGCAGAAUUCAGUGAAUCAUCGAAUCUUUGAACGCACAUUGCGCCCCUUGGUAUUCCAUGGGGCAUGCCUGUUCGAGCGUCAUUUGUACCCUCAAGCUCUGCUUGGUGUUGGGUGUUUGUCCCCGUCUCCGCGCGUGGACUCGCCCCAAAGUGAUUGGCAGCCGGCGUACUGGUCCCGGAGCGCAGCACAUGUCGCGAAACGAGUGCCUUGGUACGGCGGCGUCCAUAAGCCCCUCUCUCACGCUCUUGACCUCGGAUCAGGUAGGGAUACCCGCUGAACUUAAGC